UACGGAGGGUGCGAGCGUUGUCCGGAAUCACUGGGCGUAAAGGGCGCGUAGGCGGCAUGCCAAGCGUGUGGUGAAAGCCCCGGGCUCAACCUGGGAAUGGCCGUUGAAACUGGCGAACUGGAGUGUGGCAGAGGGGGGUGGAAUUCCGCGUGUAGCAGUGAAAUGCGUAGAGAUGCGGAGGAACACCGAUGGCGAAGGCAGCCCCCUGGGCUGACACUGACGCUCAGGCACGAAAGCGUGGGGAGCAAACAGG
rnacentral:rRNA from 1 species